rnacentral:lncRNA from 1 species
ACUUGAUGUUCAUAUCAACACAGAAGUUGUGACUAUCCACAGAAUAUAAAAAAAGACUAAAGAGUAAAAGUAAUAUUCAUUAAGACAAAUAAAAGAGCACUACAACAUAUUUGAAAACCAAAGUUUAUAGCUGCGUACCCAAACAUGUGAAAACUUUAUGACCAAGAGGUCACUACAGUGCCCAUGAUGAACAAAUGAUAAC